rnacentral:tRNA from 1 species
GCCGCCGUAGCUCAGUUGGUAGAGCACCUGACUUGUAAUCUGGAGGUCGCGGGUUCGAAUCCCGCUGGCGGCU